rnacentral:rRNA from 2 species
GACAGAGGGUGCAAACGUUGUUCGGAAUUACUGGGCGUAAAGCGCGUGUAGGCGGCACGGCAAGUCGGAUGUGAAAGCCCGCGGCUCAACCGUGGAAGUGCACUCGAAACUGCCGAGCUAGAGUCUCGGAGAGGAAGGUGGAAUGCUUGGUGUAGAGGUGAAAUUCGUAGAUAUCAAGCAGAACACCUGUGGCGAAGGCGGCCUUCUGGACGAUGACUGACGCUGAGACGCGAAAGCGUGGGGAGCAAACAGG